GAUCCUGGCUCAGGACGAACGCUGGCGGCGUGCCUAACACAUGCAAGUCGAACGGAACUGUUUUGAAAGAUUUCUUCGGAAUGAAUUUGAUUUAGUUUAGUGGCGGACGGGUGAGUAACUCGUGGGUAACCUGCCUUCAAGAGGGGGAUAACAUUCUGAAAAGAAUGCUAAUACCGCAUGACAUAUCGGAAUCACAUGGUUUUGAUAUCAAAGAUUUUAUCGCUUGAAGAUGGACUCGCGUCCGAUUAG
rnacentral:rRNA from 1 species